AAUGAACGCUGGCGGCGUGCCUAACACAUGCAAGUCGGACGAGAAAGGCCGCAAGGCUGAGUAAAGUGGCGCACGGGUGAGUAAUACGUGGGAAUCUACCCUUUGGAGAAGAAUACCUCCGAGAAAUCGGGGCUAAUACUGCAUAAGUCUAGUAAUAGAGAAAGGUGGCCUAAAAGCUACCGCCGAAAGGAUGAGCCCGCGGCCUAUUAGUUAGUUGGUGAGGUAAAGGCUCACCAAGACGAAGAUGGGUAGCCGGCCUGAGAGGGCGAUCGGCCACACUGGAACUGAAACACGGUCCAGACUCCUACGGGAGGCAGCAGUGGGGAAUAUUGCACAAUGGGCGCAAGCCUGAUGCAGCGACGCCGCGUGGAGGAGUGAAGGUUUU
rnacentral:rRNA from 1 species